CCCGCACAAGCGGUGGAGCAUGUGGCUUAAUUCGAGGCAACGCGAAGAACCUUACCUGGGCUUGACAUAUUUCUGACCGCCGUGGAAACACGGUUUCUCUUCGGAGCAGAUUUACAGGUGCUGCAUGGCUGUCGUCAGCUCGUGCCGUGAGGUGUUCGGUUAAGUCCGGCAACGAGCGCAACCCGCGUCGUCAGUUACUAACAGGUAAUGCUGAGGACUCUGGCGAGACUGCCCGUGUUAAGCGGGAGGAAGGCGCGGAUGACGUCAAGUCAGUAUGGCCCUUAUGUCCAGGGCUGCACACGUGCUACAAUGGCCGGUAUAAUAGGCAGCAAUAUCGCGAGAUGGAGCAAAUCCCCAAAACCGGCCUUAGUUCGGAUUGGAGUCUGCAACUCGACUCCAUGAAGUCGGAAUCGCUAGUAAAGGCGUAUCAGCUACGACGCCUUGAAUACGUUCCCGGGCCUU
rnacentral:rRNA from 1 species